UGCCUACGGGACGCAGCAGUGGGGAAUAUUGGGCAAUGGGCGCAAGCCUGACCCAGCAACGCCGCGUGAAGGAAGAAGGCUUUCGGGUUGUAAACUUCUUUUCUCAGGGACGAAGAAAGGGACGGUACCUGAGGAAUAAGCCACGGCUAACUAAGUGCCAGCAGCUGCGGUAAUACGUAGGUGGCAAGCGAUAUGCGGAUUUACUGGGUGUAAAGGGCGUGUAGGCGGGAAAGGAAGUCAG
rnacentral:rRNA from 1 species